UACGUAGGGUGCGAGCGUUGCCCGGAUUUACUGGGCGUAAAGCGUGCGCAGGCGGUUCUCCAAGUCCGUUGUGAAAGCCCCGGGCUCAACCUGGGAAUGGCAGUGGAAACUAGGGGACUGGAAUCUGGCAGAGGGGGGUGGAAUGCCGCGUGUAGCAGUGAAAUGCGUAGAGAUGCGGCGGAACACCGAUGGCGAAGGCAGCCCCCUGGGCUGAGAUUGACGCUCAGGCACGAAAGCGUGGGGAGCAAACAGG
rnacentral:rRNA from 1 species